UCACUAGUAGAUGGACCUGCGUUGUAUUAGCUAGUUGGUGAGGUAACGGCUCACCAAGGCAACGAUACAUAGCCGACCUGAGAGGGUGAUCGGCCACACUGGGACUGAGACACGGCCCAGACUCCUACGGGAGGCAGCAGUAGGGAAUCUUCGGCAAUGGGGGCAACCCUGACCGAGCAACGCCGCGUGAGUGAAGAAGGUUUUCGGAUCGUAAAGCUCUGUUGU
rnacentral:rRNA from 1 species